rnacentral:lncRNA from 1 species
CGAUCACGAACUCAGAUGGUACCGAUCAGAUGCUGCGAUGAACCUCGAGAAUCUUUAGGUUUGAUAGAGGAAACACUCGACGGUACAAAUUAUGAUGUGACAAUGCGACAAUAAUAGUGGGGGAAUUCGUACUAUCUAUGAGAAAUGUAACACACAGUAAAUUGUGCACUGGGCUUUGAGAUAAGAUAAGCUUGUACCUCGUCACAUGUUCCACCAGAGUUCUUGUCCGCGUAUGUUGCUCAAGAUAUUUCCUGGUUUUUAAUCUGUGGAUUUGCUGGCAUGGUAUCCUUAAAAUUGAUAUUUUCUUGAGGCAUCAUUUGGGCUGCUGGAGAUGAUGAUUCGUGAACAGAUCAGAUCUCGAAGAUUGAAGUCGCAAUCCUAAGUAAUGCAAGAUCGACAAAGCCAUUCUAUGCAUCAGCAGAAGACAUCUUGUAAGACGUGCAUCAGAAAGUUUAUAUUGCUAAUGAUAGAGUACUCCUGACGUUAAUUAACAUUGUUCUACGAGCACAGUAAGCUCAGCGAAGAGUGAAGCCACAAUGCUGGAAUGCAACGCAAUGCAUUAUCGGUGACGGAUGCAUCAACGGUGUUUAUAGAAGCUUAUAAGAGUAUGCAUCAUUAUGGAUACACAUGAAUGUUUCUCUAUUAUUCGACAUGAAUCCAAUUCAUGAAGCUUAUUUUUCAGGGUAAAUUGUUGAGAAGAACGUAUUUGAUAAUUAAAUAGGUCUAAUUGACUUGUGAUCUUUGAUGAACUUCUUCUUCUUGAUCAUUUAUUCGAUACCGCUCGAGAAUCGUAUUUACACCAGCUUGUUAUCGGAGUAUGAAUGCACACAUGGACAUCAACACGGCUCUUUAAAGAUGUGAUGAUAUGAU